GAAAAUGCGAUAUGCAGUGUGAAUUGCAGAACCACGAAUCAUCGGAUAUUUGAACGCAACUAGCGCUGGUAUAACCAGCAGAUUUGGUUCAGUGUGCGCAACAAAUUAACCUAACCUAAAUGUGAGAGAAGUUCUCUCAUCAAGUAUAUGCUCUCAGCAGCAGUCACAUUUUACAUGUGAGCUGAUGAAAGUCAAAACUACUUAUUUGCACCUGAACUCAAGUCAGAUGACCCGCUGGACUUAA
rnacentral:misc_RNA from 1 species